rnacentral:rRNA from 1 species
GACGAACGCUGGCGGCGUGCCUAAUACAUGCAAGUAGAACGCUGAAGGAGGAGCUUGCUUCUCCGGAUGAGUUGCGAACGGGUGAGUAACGCGUAGGUAACCUGCCUGGUAGCGGGGGAUAACUAUUGGAAACGAUAGCUAAUACCGCAUAACAGUAGAUAUCGCAUGAUAUCUGCUUGAAAGGUGCAAUUGCAUCACUACCAGAUGGACCUGCGUUGUAUUAGCUAGUUGGUGAGGUAACGGCUCACCAAGGCGACGAUACAUAGCCGACCUGAGAGGGUGAUCGGCCACACUGGGACUGAGACACGGCCCAGACUCCUACGGGAGGCAGCAGUAGGGAAUCUUCGGCAAUGGACGGAAGUCUGAACGAGCAACGCCGCGUGAGUGAAGAAGGGUUUCGGAUCGGAAAGCUCUGUUGUAAGAGAAGAACGAGUGUGAGAGUGGAAAGUUCACACUGUGACGGUAUCUUACCAGAAAGGGACGGCUAACUACGUG